UCGAAUAAUUUGAAAAUCAUACCAUUCGAAUAUACAUUCCUACUUGAUUACAAGUAAUUCUGAAAUAGCAAUAAGAUUUAUUUUAUUAUAAAGAUGUAUUUCAAUGCCACUGUAAACAUACACAGGACAUGGUUGUAACCAUUAUGACUGAAACUGAUGGUACUGUCAGUAUGUAUGUAGAUAGAAGACCAUGACUCAAAUAACCUUCUUAUUGUUAUAAAAUAAGUUGCUUACUGAAAAAAGGUUUUUAAUUGACAUAUUCAUUUUGUCUUGAUCCUCCCCUUACAAAAAUAAAUAUAUGAACAUUGCACACAAUUAGGUGGUGAUGCAAAGACUAAAAUGCAAUACACAUGGUACUACUAUACAAUUAUGGACUAAUAAAUCAACUCGAAGGAGCUACAAGUUGGCUUUGUUGAACACACCUUGAAGAAUGCUUUAAUGCAUACUCGCAAGCCCCUUAUUUCAUAGAAAAACUAGAAUGAUAUAAAUAUAUUCCAUGCAUCGUAUUUAAGUUUACACUGAAGAUUGUUUUUCAAACUUGAUCAGAAACUUGUUUGUGAAAACAGUGAGAACACAAUCAAGAACCAAAGUCGAUUUAAGAACACGCUCGACCAACAAGAAUUUGUGCAGAGGUUGCAUAGGAUCUUUUCAAACAUGCUAGGAAGAAAUAUAUAACAUAUAUAGAUAGAAAUAGUGAAUGGACGGAAAUUUGAAUGAAACGAUUAGAUCCCAGAAGAUAAAAAGCUCUAAGUGCACUCAAGAGUAUCUCAGUUACCACUGGGAUUCCUAAUAAAGUUGCAAUGGAUGGUAGACGGUAAUUUAGAUCGAGUCGUUUUUAAAGGUGGAAUAUUGAACACCUAAUAUAAUCUCUUCAUUAUCUACCAUUGAAUAAUUUAGCUGAAGCUGCAGUGAACUUGUUGAAGGCUAAAACAUCGAAGUCAGGUCCCAUUAGGUGAAUUUGUGGAAGGGCUUAUGGAAUUACAGAAUACGUCACAGGAUUAUGACCCGCAUAAAUUGUUCAUGGACAUCCAAUGAGGACUUUCUAUCUUCAAGACAGGGACAGUAGGUACCUAUAAAAGAGGUUGGAUCCCAAGGUUUGAUAUUGGAAAUGAAGUUAUAGUUCAAAAUCAUGUUACGAAAAGAUUGGAUAGAAUUGGCUUGAUUAUUGAGAAGAAACCACACAGUAAAUAUAUAAUUAGAAUAUGGAAUUAAGAGUU
rnacentral:lncRNA from 1 species